UACGGAGGAUGCAAGCGUUAUCCGGAAUGAUUGGGCGUAAAGGGUCCGCAGGUGGCCCUGUAAGUCUGCUGUUAAAGAGUGGGGCUUAACCUCAUAAAAGCAGUGGAAACUACAGAGCUAGAGUGCGUUCGGGGUAGCAGGAAUUCCUGGUGUAGCGGUGAAAUGCGUAGAGAUCAGGAAGAACACCGGUGGCGAAAGCGUGCUACUAGGCCGUAACUGACACUGAGGGACGAAAGCUAGGGGAGCGAAUGGG
rnacentral:rRNA from 1 species